rnacentral:rRNA from 1 species
UGGGGAAUUUUGGACAAUGGGCGCAAGCCUGAUCCAGCAAUGCCGCGUGCAGGAUGAAGGCCUUCGGGUUGUAAACUGCUUUUGUCAGGGAAGAAACGAGUUUCUCUAAUACAGAGACUUAAUGACGGUACCUGAAGAAUAAGCACCGGCUAACUACGUGCCAGCAGCCGCGGUAAUACGUAGGGUGCAAGCGUUAAUCGGAAUUACUGGGCGUAAAGCGUGCGCAGGCGGUUAUAUAAGACAGAUGUGAAAUCCCCGGGCUCAACCUGGGAACUGCAUUUGUGACUGUAUAGCUAGAGUACGGCAGAGGGGGAUGGAAUUCCGCGUGUAGCAGUGAAAUGCGUAGAUAUGCGGAGGAACACCGAUGGCGAAGGCAAUCCCCUGGGCCUGUACUGACGCUCAUGCACGAAAGCGUGGGGAGCAAACA